ACAUUUCUUUAAGUUAUUAUAUUUAAGGUUUUCCCUGCCCUAUGAUUAUUUAAAUGGCUGCAGUAUUUUGACUGUGCAAAGGUAGCAUAAUAAAUAGUUCUUUAAUUGAGAUCUGGUAUGAAUGGGUUAAUGAAAAAUUUAUUUUAUUAUUUAUAUUAUUUGAAUUUAAUUUUUAAGUUAAAAAGCUUAAUUUUUUUUUAGGGACGAAAAGACCCUGUAGAACUUUAUAUGGUUACUUUUAUUAUUUUUUGGCAAUUUUUUUAUACUAAUUACUAAUUUAUAUUUGACUGGGGUGGUAGUUAAAUUUUAAACUUUAAUUUUUUAUUUCAUUUUUAAAUGACUUUUUAGAUCUUAAAUUUUUGGGUUAAAAGAUAAAGUUACCUCAGGGAUAACAGCGUUAUUUUAAUGGUAAGUUCAUAUUUAUAUUAAAGUUUGCGACCUCGAUGUUGAAUUAAGAUAAAAUUAUGGGGUAGGUUCUAUAAGGUUAAGUCUGUUCGACUUUUAAAUUCUUACAUGAUCUG
rnacentral:rRNA from 1 species